CUCGCUUGAGUUUCUGAAGAAUGUUCCAUAUCGCGCUAAGCUCAUCACUGCUGAUUAUGACAGGCGUGCAACGGCACACAUCCACAGAGCACUCUUCAAAUCAUCUACACAGUGGUUAUCCAACUAGGAUUAUAAAGCUGUCAUGCAACGCAACAACUGUGCUAUCUGCCAUCGCACAUCAACGAAGAAGUGCAGCCGCCCAC